CACGUAGGGCGCAAGCGUUGUCCGGAAUUAUUGGGCGUAAAGAGCUCGUAGGCGGUCUGUUGCGUCCGCUGUGAAAAACUCGGGGGCUUAACCCCGAGCCUGCAGUGGAUACGGGCAGACUAGAGUGCGGGUAGGGGAGAUUGGAAUUCCUGGUGUAGCGGUGGAAUGCGCAGAUAUCAGGAGGAACACCUGUGGCGAAAAGCGGCUCACUGGACCACAACUACGCUGAGGCGCGAAAAAGCUAGGGGGGAGCAAAACAGGAUUAGAAAACCC
rnacentral:rRNA from 1 species